rnacentral:rRNA from 1 species
GGGUUGUGAGGUUAAGCGACUAAGCGUACACGGUGGAUGCCCUGGCAGUCAGAGGCGAUGAAGGGCGUGCUAAUCUGCGAUAAGCGCCGGUAAGGUGAUAUGAACCGUUAUAACCGGCGAUACCCGAAUGGGGAAACCCAGUGUGACUCGUCACACUAUCAUUAACUGAAUCCAUAGGUUAAUGAGGCGAACCGGGGGAACUGAAACAUCUAAGUACCCCGAGGAAAAGAAAUCAACCGAGAUUCCCCCAGUAGCGGCGAGCGAACGGGGAGGAGCCCAGAGCCUGAAUCAGCAUGUGUGUUAGUGGAAGCGUCUGGAAAGGCGCGCGAUACAGGGUGACAGCCCCGUACACAAAAGCGCAUGUGCUGUGAGCUCGAUGAGUAGGGCGGGACACGUGGUAUCCUGUCUGAAUAUGGGGGGACCAUCCUCCAAGGCUAAAUACUCCUGACUGACCGAUAGUGAACCAGUACCGUGAGGGAAAGGCGAAAAGAACCCCGGCGAGGGGAGUGAAAAAGAACCUGAAACCGUGUACGUACAAGCAGUGGGAGCACAGGUUUACCUGUGUGACUGCGUACCUUUUGUAUAAUGGGUCAGCGACUUAUAUUCUGUAGCAAGGUUAACCGAAUAGGGGAGCCGGAGGGAAACCGAGUCUUAACCGGGCGUUAAGUUGCAGGGUAUAGACCCGAAACCCGGUGAUCUAGCCAUGGGCAGGUUGAAGGUUGGGUAACACUAACUGGAGGACCGAACCGAC